GCAUUAACUAAGCCACUGUCCAGAGGAUAAGUAGAGGAUGGAGCAGCAGCAGCUGAGGAGAGGAGAGGGCCAGAGGAGGGAGAGAGGAGCCUGGGGAGAGGCAAGAGGAGAGUAUGGCUGCUGGAAACCUCAACAUGCCCGUGCCUUUGAAUUCUGUCUCAGUUAGUGUCUCAGCUUAAUGGGCUGUACCCUGAAUGGCAGCUAUCACCUGAAGCCAGAGGAGAAGCCGCCUCCUCCGGAUGGUCAGUCUGCUCCAGCCCCUCCAGUCACUGUUCCCCAGAGGAGCAUGUAGACCAUAGCCUACCUGAUGCUCCCAUCUUCACCCGGAUUCUUCCUUACCAUGCAUCGUUCUAAGCCAGGAGAAACCUGAAACUCACCAUGCUCUCUGCUGUGUCUGGAGUGAUUCACUCAACAGAUGGUUUCAAUAAUUAAUUUAAAUCAUUGUCACCCAGGCAGUGUUGCAAUCACUGAGGAACCAGCAGUGGAAAGGAAAAAUAUGAACCGAGGUUCUGCCCCACCUGGUCCCAUAGCUGUUUAGCCCCAAAUAAACACACAGAGACUUAUAUUAACUAUAAACUGUUUGGCUUAUGGCUCAGCUUCCUACUGGCUAUCUUUCUUUUAAUUAUUAACUCAUAACUACAAAUCUAUGUAUUUCUACAAGGUCUUAUCUUACUGGAGAAUACUGGGGUCCUAUUUUCCUGGUCACUACAUGGCGCCUCCCUGACGGCUCCUCCCUGUGUCCUCUCCCCAGAAUUUUCCUCAUCUGGUAGCCCCACCUGGCUACUGACCAGUGUUUUAUUCAUUAACCAAUAAAAAAACCAUAUGUACAAAAGGACAUCCCCCAUCAGAAAAAGACCCUCAUUGACAUGUAGUUUUGUAGUUUCUUUUGCCUGGAAUGAAUAGCCAGCCCCCUCCUUCCCUGCUACCUCCCACAGCAUCUUGUUUUUGUCUUUUUUUAAAAAGUUUUAUUUCUAUUUGUGUGUAUUGUAUGUGUCUAUGUGUAUGUAUGCAUACAUAUAACUCAUGUGUUAUAUGUGUCUGUGUGUAUGUAUGCACACAUAUAACUUGUGGGGAUGUCCACAGAGGUUAGGUUAUAUAUUGGCAUCUAGAUGACAAGAUCCUUAAUAUAACAGUUGCCUAACAAAUUAAUAUGAAAAAGGUCAAACCUGCAACUGAAAAGUGAGAAAAGGAUUGCGAGCCACACAAGAAAAGAAAAGGGAAAUAUAAUUGGAUCUUCAGGCUGGAAAGAUACUAGAACUCAUUCAUAAAAACUUAAAACACCACUGACAAAUAAAUGGGCUGAAUCUGGAGUAGCAGAUACUCUUGCACAUGGAGGGUAAGGGUUUGGGUAGGUGCAAUACUAAAAUAAUACUUUGACAAUUUAUCCAGUUGCAUUGUAAUUCCACAUAACAGUACCGAUUCUUGGAUUUUUUUUUUUUUUUUGGGUAUGGACCUAUAGGGUAAAUAAUUCAUGCUCAAUGUGUUUUAUUGAAAACUUUAUUUUAAUAAAAUUCUUGUCUAUAAGAUUGCUUAAUAACUGUAAUUCGACCAUCCCAUGCAGUACUUUCCAUUUUUUGCAUUUUCCAUACUUACCUAACCUGGGGAGGAGCCUUGAGCAUCUUGUAUGCUCCAUGGGUUUCCUGAGUUUGUGAAGUUUCUG
ensembl:lncRNA